rnacentral:rRNA from 1 species
UCCAGACUCCUACGGGAGGCAGCAGUGAGGAAUAUUGGUCAAUGGGCGGGAGCCUGAACCAGCCAAGUCGCGUGAGGGACGACGGUCCUAUGGAUUGUAGACCUCUUUUGUCGGGGAACAAAGGCGCCCACGGGUGGGCGGAUGAGUGUACCCGAAGAAAAAGCAUCGGCUAACUCCGUGCCAGCAGCCGCGGUAAUACGGAGGAUGCGAGCGUUAUCCGGAUUUAUUGGGUUUAAAGGGUGCGCAGGCGGAAGAUCAAGUCAGCGGUAAAAUUGAGGGGCUCAACCUCUUCGAGCCGUUGAAACUGGUUUUCUUGAGUGAGCGAGAAGUAUGCGGAAUGCGUGGUGUAGCGGUGAAAUGCAUAGAUAUCACGCAGAACUCCGAUUGCGAAGGCAGCAUACCGGCGCUCAACUGACGCUCAUGCACGAAAGUGUGGGUAUCGAACAGGAUUAGAUACCCGCGUA